GGGCACUGUCCUGAGGAUAUAGCUGUACUGAGAAUCUAAGAUCUCCAUCCUUGUGGAGUUUAUAUUCUAGCCUACGUGUGUGGCAGGGGACAGAUGGCACAAUGAGGUGGUGACCUGAAUUUUCAGUGUCCUGGAGGAACUUGAAUAUUUAAGGCCUGCAUUCAGCUGAAACAGAACAUUGAAGCCCUUUUGCAUUUUCUGGGUUCAAAAGCAAGGCUGCACACAAUAACAUGAUGCCAUGGCUAAGAAGUUGGGUCCUCAAGGCACUGAGAAAUGCCCGGGGAUUCUGUGGGCCUCACAGGCAGCAACCACCUCUCCCUGACCCUCAGAAAAUUGUGGCCACCUGGGAAGCCAUCAGCCUGGGGAGGCAGCCAGUGCCUGAGUACUUCAACUUUGCCCAUGAUGUGCUGGACAUGUGGAGUCAGCUGGAAAAGGCUGGGCACCGGCCCCGGAUCCCCGCAUUCUGGUGGGUCAAUGGCAAGGGAACAGAGGUCAAGUGGAACUUUGAGGAGCUGGGGGAGCAGUCCAGGAAGGUGGCUAAUGUGCUCCAGGACAUGUGUGGCCUUCAGCCUGGGGACAGGAUGAUGCUGGUGCUCCCGCGGCUCCCAGAGUGGUGGCUGGUCAGCGUGGCAUGCAUACGGACAGGGGCUGUCGUGAUUCCAGGUGUCUCUCAGCUGACGGAGAAGGACCUCAAAUAUCGGCUGCAGGCGUCCAGGGCCAAGUCCAUUAUCACCAGUGACUCCCUGGCUCCGCGGGUGGACGCCAUUAGCGCCGACUGUCCCUCCCUCCAGUCCAAGCUACUGGUGUCAGAUGGCAGUCGGCCAGGCUGGAUGAGCUUCAGGGAACUCCUCCGCGAGGCAUCCACAGAGCACAACUGUGUGAGGACCAAGAGUCAAGACCCUCUGGCCAUCUACUUCACAAGUGGCACCACUGGGGCCCCCAAGAUGGUUGAGCACUCCCAGGCCAGCUACGGACUGGGUUUUGUGGCCAUCGGAAGGCGGUGGAUGGACUUGACCAAAUCGGACAUCUUCUGGAACACGUCUGACACUGGCUGGGUAAAGUCAGCUUGGACCCUCUUCUCUGCCUGGUCCAAUGGAUCUUGCAUUUUUGUGCAUGAGCUGCCCCGAGUCGAUGCCAAGAUUAUUCUGAAUACUCUCUCCAGAUUCCCCAUCACCACCCUCUGCUGUGUCCCCACCAUCUUCCGGCUGCUGGUACAGGAGGAUCUCACCAGGUACCAGUUUCAGAGCCUGAGGCACUGUUUGACUGGAGGAGAGUCACUGAAUCCUGACGUGAGAGAGAAGUGGAAGAGCCAGGUGGGCCUGGAGCUGCAUGAAGGCUAUGGCCAGUCUGAAACAGUUUUAAUCUGUGCCGUUUCAAAAGGCAUGAAAAUCAAGUCUGGAUCCAUGGGGAAAGCAUCGCCACCUUACGAUGUGCAGAUCGUGGAUGAUGAGGGCAACAUCCUGUCUCCAGGAGAAGAGGGGAAUAUUGCUGUUCGAGUUAGGCCCACCCGGCCCUUCUGUUUCUUCAGUUGCUAUUUGAACAAUCCUGAGAAGACAGAGGCAUCAGAACGAGGGGACUUUUACAUCACGGGGGACCGAGCCCACAAGGACAAGGAUGGCUACUUUUGGUUCGUGGGAAGAAAUGAUGAUGUGAUCAAUUCCUCAAGGUCAAGCUGUCUGCUCUGUCCUUCUCCCUUUGAAGCUUCGUGGGGGGGAGGUGGGAAGUGGUCACUUGGAAGAGUUUGUUUUUCUCUUCCAGCUACCGGAUUGGGCCCGUUGAAGUGGAAAAUGCCCUUGCCGAGCACUCUGCUGUUCUGUAGGCUGCUGUGGUCAGCAGCCCAGACCCCAUCAGAGGGGAGGUGGUGAAGGCAUUUAUUGUCCUUUCUCCAGCUUACUCCUCUCAAGAUCCUAAGAAACUAACUCAGGAGCUCCAGGAGCAUGUGAAAAGGGUGACUGCUCCAUACAAGUACCCCAGGAAGGUGGCCUUUGUUUCAGAAUUGCCCAAGACAGUUUCUGGAAAGAUCCAAAGGAAUACAUUGAGAAGCCAAGAGUGGGGGGAGAUGAGAGGCAACCCCCGAAAGGCCCCAUAGGCCUCUGAAGUUUCUAAGAGGAACUGGUGGGAUCACUGUUUAGUCCUUGUUUGGAGCAUCAUCCCUUAAACCCUGUGGACAUCAAAAGCUUUCAGUUUCAAAUGGGCAUUUCCAAAAUAGUUCGGAGGACCCUGGAAGAGAGUGGAAGAAUGUCACUAACCCAGAGUGCACAGCCCCUGCCAGUCUAGCAUAUGUUUGAUGCCUUGACUUCCCCCUCCUCUCUCUGAAGGCAACCUCAGCAGCUGAUGCUCUGAAGGACAGGUCACCAUAAAGUCAGGGCUCCUGUGAUCUCAUUCAUUGCCGGUCAUUCAGGGCCGGAACUGUUACCAUCCCUCUCUUGACAAUGUAUUCCAUUAUCCUUUUGAUAAAGCCAUAUAUCCAGGGCCAUGAAAAAUUGGUCCUACUCUUUAGCUCAGAAAUUCCAUCUUUGGUAAUUACUGCAAAAGAAAGAAUUCAAGGAUAUUUACUCGAACAUUGUUUAAAACUGUUAAAAAAAGAUACUGUAUGUGGAAAACCCAAAAGACUCCACCCCAAAACUGCUAGAACUCA